rnacentral:rRNA from 1 species
UACGUAGGGUGCGAGCGUUAAUCGGAAUUACUGGGCGUAAAGCGUGCGCAGGUGGUUUUGUAAGCCAGAUGUGAAAUCCCCGGGCUUAACCUGGGAAUGGCAUUUGGGACUGCAAGGCUUGAGUUUGGCAGAGGAGACUGGAAUUCCUGGUGUAGCAGUGAAAUGCGUAGAUAUCAGGAGGAAUACCGAUGGCGAAGGCAGGUCUCUGGGCUAGAACUGACGCUCAUGCACGAAAGCGUGGGGAGCAAACAGG